GACGAACGCUGGCGGCGCGCUUAACACAUGCAAGUCGAACGGAAAGGCCUGCUUUCCCUUGUGGUUUGCGGGUACUCGAGUGGCGAAUGGGUGAGUAACACGUGAGUGAUCUGCCCCCAACUUGGGUAUAAGCCUGGGAAACUGGGUCUAAUUCCCGAUAGGACUGCAGGGUGGUGCCUGUGGUGGAAAACUAUUUUCUAGUGGUUGGUGAUGCGCUCGCGGCCUAUCAGCUUGUUGGUGGGGUAAUGGCCUACCAAGGCGGCGACGGGUAGCCGGCCUGGGAGGGUGGACGGCCACAUUGGGACUGAGAUACGGCCCAGACGGGUAGGAGAGGCAGCAGUGGGGAAGAAUGCAGAAUGGGCGGAAGCGUGAUGCAGCGAGGCAGCGUGGGGGAUGACGGCCUUCGGGUUGUAAACUCCUUUCGACCGAGAGGAAGCCACCUGGUUGGAAGGGUGGUGACGGUAGUGGUAGAAGAAGCACCGGCUAACUACGUG
rnacentral:rRNA from 1 species